GUGCUGCUGCAGCUGCUGCUGCAGCUUCUGGUGCUGCAGCAGCUGCUGCUGCAGCUCCAGCAGCAUUUGCUGGUGCUUGCGCUCCUCUUGACGCAGCUGAAAGA
rnacentral:snoRNA from 1 species